UCUGCUCCGACCCCGGUGCACCCCGCCCUGAGUCUGCUCCACUCUGGGUGCGUCCUGCCCCGUGUUUGUUCCACUCCAGGUGCACAACGCCCCGAGCUUGCUCGGCUCAGGAUGUUCCCCACCCGGUGUCUGCUCCACUGUGGGUGCACCAGGCCUCGUGUCUACUCUGCUCCGGCAUUCUCCCAGACUCGGCCUGAAGAAGCCGGAUGACGCCGAGGCCCCCCGAAACCCAGCCACUCGGAGCUAGCCUUCUGUUGGUAUAAGAAGUCCACCCGGGUUUUGUUGUUGUGUGCACAAGCCAAAUGGACACCCUCAGGUGUCAUUCCUGGAGUACCGUACACCCUCACGGGCUUGGAACUCACUAAACAGGCGAGGCUAACAGGCCAAGGGACCCCAAGGAUCCUCUUUCUUUCAACCUCCCCAUCGCUGAGAAUACAAAUACACAUGCCUCAAAAGUGUUAAUAGGUGCGGGCUGGAGAGAUGGCUCAGUGGUUAAGAGCACUGACUGCUCUUCCAGAGGUCCUGAGUUCAAUUACCAGCAACCACUUGGUGGCACACAGCCAUCUACGAGAUCUGGUACCCUCUUCUGGCCUGCAGGCAUACAUGGAAGGAAUACUGAAUACAUAAUAAGUAAAUAAAUCCUUUAAAAAAAGAAAGCACCGCCUAUUCCUCCAGCGGUCUUGAGUUCAAUUCCCACGACCACGUGGUAAUUCACAACCAUCUGUAAUGAGCUCUGGCGUGCAAGCAUACAAGCUACAGAAACACUCUAUACAUAAAAUAAAUCUUUUAAAAAAGAGUUAAUAGGUAACUAUUAUUGAAAAGGGGUUGCCGGGCGGUGGUGGUGCACGCCUUUAAUCCCAGCACACAGGAGGCGUAGGCAGGCGGAUCUCUGUGAGUUCGUGGCCAGCCUGGUCUACAGAGCUAGUUCCAGGACAGGCUCCAAAACCACACAGAGAAACCCUGUCUCAAUAAAACAAAAG